rnacentral:rRNA from 1 species
GGGCCCGCACAAGCAGUGGAGCAUGUGGUUUAAUUCGAUGCAACGCGAAGAACCUUACCAGGCCUUGACAUCCUCGGAACUUUCUAGAGAUAGAAAGGUGCCUUCGGGAACGCAGUGACAGGUGCUGCAUGGCUGUCGUCAGCUCGUGUUGUGAAAUGUUGGGUUAAGUCCCGUAACGAGCGCAACCCCCAUCUUUAGUUGCCAGCACAUUAUGGUGGGAACUAUAAGGAGACUGCCGGUGAUAAACCGGAGGAAGGCGGGGACGACGUCAAGUCAUCAUGGCCCUUACGACCAGGGCUACACACGUGCUACAAUGGGGAAUACAGACGGACGCUAAGCCGCGAGGUGGUGCUAAUCCUAGAAAGUUUCUCGUAGUCCGGAUUGGAGUCUGCAACUCGACUCCAUGAAGUCGGAAUC